UCCUCGGUAGUAUAGUGAUUAGUAUACCCGGCCUGUCACGGCGGGGUGACCCGGGGUCCAAUUCCCGGACGAGAAG